CUGCUUUGACAACCUGAAAGGACACUACAGCACCACUACUGAGCAUCCCUGUGUCAGCCCCUCCAACCCCCAGCUCUUCCCUUCCUUUUAGCCCCCAAGGGCCUGAGACCUGGGGAACUUUUAAUUACCCACAGCCGCAGCUCUCCUCAUCGUCCACCACCGAAUGGUCAACAGGCUUUACUACUUACCAAGCCAUCAAUGUCUGAAUGAUAAUAGGAAGCAGUGUGGGCGUGCAAGAAGAGGUGUUCAAGGGGGGCAUGCAGAGAAGGAUAGGGGUAUCAUUGGGCAAGCCUGCUGGUUAAUUAGCCCUGUGUCAGUAGGAGCACCCCCCGCCCACCUACCCCCUUCUGAUGCCAAGAAAGGCCAUCAGGCAUUAUCUAUGGCCGCCUAUUUUUUAUGGUCUUUUGCAGACUACAGAGAUGAGGUUGUUUAGCAGCAUAGACGGCAUAUGGUGCCACCAUUGGAAACACGCUGUGACUCAGUAGUACAUUUAGAGAGAGGGGGAAAAAAGAAACAUGUUAAUGUCCACGCAAGAAGUGGAGCCCAGAGAUGUUUCGCUCCAGCUGCUUGUUAGCCAAGUGCAAUGAUUUGGUAAUACGGUCUAAGGGGGAUGAAAUUCAUGAUCUUUUGUCUUAUUCAUGCACAUGACAUGUGAAGAAGAAACUUCCAUGGGACUCUGAUGCAAAAAUGAUAAGUAUUUUGAUUCAUCAUUUCUCACAGGAAUAUUCAAAUUAAUUUAUUCUAAAGGAAAAAAAAAGGACAACUCCAAGUAACCAUAUGACACAAUCAUUUAUUCAGUCUCAACUGCUGGAACAUGCCUCUGUGGGCUCAUUCUCAUAAAGGUACUGGAACAAACAGUUUUAAAUGUUUUAACUGUUGUCCAUUCUCCAAGCUGCUUGUCCUCACAAGGGUUGGAGGAGUGCCGGAGCCUAUCCCAGCUAACAUCGGGUGAAAGGCAGGGUGCACCCUGAACUGGUUGCCAGUCAGUCUCAGGGAAGAUAUCAACACCAUCACUGAGUGGGAAUUUACCAAAGUCUAACUCCACACAGGCGGGGCCGGAAUUGAACCCUGGACCUCAGAACUGUGAUGCCAACAGCUACUGCUGAUCCACCAUGCCGCCUUGUUAAAAAACUGUACUUUUUUUUUGUUGUUGUUGUUGCCUGUUUUAAGUUUUUUUACUUGAAAUAACGAAAGACUUUUAGUUGGAUUAACAGAAAACCUUAACUGCAUGCAAAUCCAAAGAUGUCUGGCACUGUCUCGCUGAGUUUUCCCAUGACCCAAGAGUUCUGUGGUGCUGAGUCAUCCACAACCAACAAGAUGUCUCCCGCAGAGAAAUUGUGUGGGACGGACGGAACCACAUGUGGUGCUCCUGUAUAUAACUCUAGCGGGUAUUCUCUUGUCUAUCUAAUCCAAAACAUGUCUACUAAACACUGGAGCUGAUUGAUUUCCUGCAUGCGUAAAGAUCCCGAUUGUCAAACUGGCCAGGAAGCAGGUAUGACUUGAACAAAUGUUGAUUUAGCUAACUACUUCUACAUCAUUCAUAUUGACGAAUGCCAUAGUUAUAAACCGACUAGUGAUGAUUUUACUCUGCCUCACACAAUAGGUAUGUAGGCCCCUUUCAAGUUAAAUUAAGUGUCUAUUGCUUCAGGGUGACACUAAGGCUAUGUUCACACUGCAGAACAAGUCUUCUUUCAUAUGUGGAUGUAACUUGGAUAUAAAUGCAAAUCCAGAAAGCUCAUGACGCAUUCAUCCGACCCAUACAUCGUCAAAUGGGGACAAACGUCACAAUUGUUGGACAAAACAGAUUCAUCCUCGUCUCAUUUUUUUGCCAUCGACCACCGCUCCACCCCACCCCACCACCACCACCCCACAUCGUGCUGUGGCUGAACAAGCUCG